GAUCAUGGCUCAGGAUGAACGCUGGCGGCGUGCUUAACACAUGCAAGUCGAACGAGGAAUAAUUAAUGAAGUUUCGGAUGGAUUGAUUAUCCGAGUGGCGGACGGGUGAGUAACGCGUGGGUAACCUGCCCCAUACAGGGGGACAACAGAGGGAAACUUCUGCUAAUACCGCAUAAGCGCUUUUUUAUGGCAUCGUAAGAAGCGGAAAGCUCCGGCGGUAUGGGAUGGGCCCGCGUUGGAUUAGGCAGUUGGCGGGGUAACGGCCCACCAAACCGACGAUCCAUAGCCGACCUGAGAGGGUGACCGGCCACAUUGGGACUGAGACACGGCCCAGACUCCUACGGGAGGCAGCAGUGGGGAAUAUUGCACAAUGGGCGAAAGCCUGAUGCAAGCGACGCCGCGUGAGUGAAGAAGUAUUUCGGUAUGUAAAGCUCUAUCAGCAGGGAAGAAAAUGACGGUACCUGCACAAGAAGCUCCGGCUAAAUACGUGCCAGCCGCGGC
rnacentral:rRNA from 1 species